GAAUACGACCAUGGGAGUCCGGGGGGAACCGGGCUGAGAGUACGGCUGAGCCGCCGUUAACCAUUUGAACCUGUUGGGUCAUGCCAGCGUAGGGAGAGGUGGAUCAACACACUU
rnacentral:ncRNA from 2 species